CAAAUGUUGGCAAAGGCUUUAGCUGUUGCACAAGAGCCAUAGCAUCCCAAAUGUAGACUGAGCCAUCGGGGCUGUCUUUCACAGUAGCAGGCGGGCCGAUCUCCUCCUGCAAGACAUGCAUCAGCUUGGCUUUAUUGGUUUUUGCCAGGGAGCCGUCAGUGUUUGCGAGAGCCUGUGGAAAAGGACCCAAACACUCUGAAUUCAGAUGUGCCACUGGUCCCUGCCCUGCCAUGUUUUUGCACUCCACAGUGAUUGCUGCCCUUUCAUGCUGGGUCAAGGUCCAUCGGUGAACUGCACCCUUAUUCAAUUGUUCAUCUCGGCCCAAUAUGCUGUCAGAUAACGGGAAUAGUUGACUUUAUCACAAGCAAAGAACCAGGGCAGCAUGCAUUGAACAGUAGACAAAUGGAGAGCCCAGUUUCCCUCCCGAGUAGCCCGGAUGAAAAGAAGCAGGGUCUCCAUCAUUUCAAUGUACUGGCUCCAAAAUGCAAAGGUCAGAUUUGAGUGAUUUCUUUCCACAAAUUCAUCAUAGCCUUUCAGUAAAUCCAGGAAUGUUUCAGAGUUAAGUGCCUCAUUGAACUCAAU